rnacentral:rRNA from 1 species
AUGGCGAUCGAUCAGUCCCUCAAGAAGAAGAGAGGGAGACCAGCAGGAGGAGGUUCCCCGUCUGUCAACAAUAGCGAGCGAGAUAAGAUGGUCAUGGAGAAGAAGAUGGCACUGGUGCACCGAAGGCUGGCCUUGCUCGACAGCGAGAGCGACAAGGAAACUGAUGUUGUGCCAACGGCCACAAUGAUUGUGCGGCCACGGAGGGCGGACAGUGAGCAAAAAAGGCUGUUUGAUGUUUCUCAAACACACAAUGCCCAGGAUACUGACACUGCUAAAAAGAAGAGAGGGAGGCUUGUCAACGCCAAGAGUGACAUGGAGCAGAAGUUGAAUAUGUCAACGCCGGGGCUUGCCUUGGUUGAGAGCGGCGGCAGUAACAGCAGCAAGAGUGACGUAGAUGAUGAUCUUGUGCCGAUGGUAGCUGCUGUUAAUUGCCAAAAGACAUGUACAAGUGUUCAGGGUAACUUUGGGUCUGCUAUGGAGAGAGCUGAGGAGUUACUUGUGGAGUUACCAGCCGAACAUCCUAGCUUUGUCAAGCAUAUGCUACAUUCACAUGUUGUUCAUGGUUUUUGGCUGGGUCUACCGUCUGACUUCUGCAACAAGCAUCUCCCAAAGAAGGACACUGCUGUUGUGCUAGAAGAUGAGGAUGGGCACAACUAUGAUGCAAAAUAUCUAGGUGCCAAGCAAGGACUUAGUGCUGGUUGGAGAGGUUUUGCGAUUAAUCAUGAUAUCAAGGUUGGAGAUGUUGUAGUCUUUCAACUUGUUAGUUCAGCAAAGUUUCAGGUCUACAUAUUAAGAGCGAACAACUUCACUACAACUGAUGGAGCACUUGGUCUCCUGUGUCUGGAAGCUGGCAAGGAGAAGAUACCGAAAGAAGAAAGUUCCAAUGAUGUCAAAUCUGAAGCUGGCAAGGAGAAGAUACCGAAAGAAGAAAGUUCCAAUGAUGUCAAAUCUGAAGCUGGCAAGGAGAAGAUACCGAAAAGUUCCAUUGAUGUCAAAUCUGAAGCUGGCAAGGAGAAGAUACCGAAAGAAGAAAGUUCCAUUGAUGUCAAAUCUGAGGAGAAACCAAAGGUUGCUCAGAGCGAUAGCAGCAACCUAGCCAGUGAGUCAAUAACAGAUGGCAUCAAAUUUUCAGACACAGCCAUCGAUUUCGACGACGUGAAAGAUUUCAGCAGCUUCAGCAUCAUCGUAGACGGCCUGGCCAUCGACUGCGAGUUUCCUGACCAACAACGCGAGACGUACUACGAGCUGUGCUGUGCCCAGAAGUCGUUCCUUCACAAGGACCUGCUCAAAGGGCUAAACAUCACACUCGUGGUGGGGGCGAUCAUGGAGACUAUCGACAUCGCAGAGGGCAUCAGGGCCUGCAAGGCGCGCGUUCCUUCCCGCAAGGACUUUGUGGUCUGGAAGAAGAACUUGCAGGCCUUGAAGCUCCUGGGCAUGAAUGUGGACUUCCUGCUCAAACGCGUCGAUGGUCUCCUCAGCCUCCCUGCUCGACCCAGAGCCCCUGCUGAGGUAAAACUGGAGCGGGCACGCACCGUUGCGAAAAUCAAGGAGGUCGAGUCCAGGAUUUCGAGUGUGAAGGACACUCUGGAGGAGAUUGACGUGGAGAUGGAGGAGAUGGAGUCCAGCGCGAAGAUAGUGGAUGAGAUGAUGCAGCUGUUAGCGACCGCGCCAUGGUAG